rnacentral:rRNA from 1 species
UACAGAGGUCUCAAGCGUUGUUCGGAUUCAUUGGGCGUAAAGGGUGUGUAGGUGGCGCGCUAAGUCGGGGUGUGAAAUUUCGGAGCUUAACUCCGAAACUGCAUUCGAUACUGGCGUGCUUGAGGACUGGAGAGGAGACUGGAAUUUACGGUGUAGCAGUGAAAUGCGUAGAUAUCGUAAGGAAGACCAGUGGCGAAGGCGGGUCUCUGGACAGUUCCUGACACUGAGACACGAAGGCCAGGGGGAGCAAAACGGG